rnacentral:snoRNA from 1 species
AUACCUAAAUAAAAAUUUAUCUCCUAAUAGAUUUUAGUGACUAUGCUUAUGGGAUAGAUUAAAAUUGCCAUGAUCUGAAGACGGAGGAUUUAUUUGUGUCCUCCUCCUAUAUGAAACUGCUGAACAGAAAAUU